rnacentral:misc_RNA from 1 species
AACGCAAAUUGCGCUUGAGGCUUCGGCCAAAAGCAUGUCUGCCUCAGCGUCGGGUUAAUACUCGCUCCCUGUUCACCCAGGUGUGGCGGAACUGACUGUCUCGGCACUACUUCUAUAGUGUGCCGGGUUGGUUGAAGUAUGCAGUUGUUUUGGCGCACGUGGACCCGCCUUUAUGGUGGGUGUGCUUCCACUGGGUAGGCAAAUCCAAUUUGCUAAAUGCUUUAGUGGAUAGCUGAAUGCGUGUACGGCAAAACACAAAGCAGGAAAAUUAAUCCUAUUUUCUCGACCUGAGCUCAGGCAAGAUUACCCGCUGAACUUAA